AGUGAACGCUGGCGGUAGGCCUAACACAUGCAAGUCGAACGGCAGCACAGUAAGAGCUUGCUCUUACGGGUGGCGAGUGGCGGACGGGUGAGGAAUACAUCGGAAUCUACUUUUUCGUGGGGGAUAACGUAGGGAAACUUACGCUAAUACCGCAUACGACCUACGGGUGAAAGCAGGGGAUCUUCGGACCUUGCGCGAUUGAAUGAGCCGAUGUCGGAUUAGCUAGUUGGCGGGGUAAAGGCCCACCAAGGCGACGAUCCGUAGCUGGUCUGAGAGGAUGAUCAGCCACACUGGAACUGAGACACGGUCCAGACUCCUACGGGAGGCAGCAGUGGGGAAUAUUGGACAAUGGGCGCAAGCCUGAUCCAGCCAUACCGCGUGGGUGAAGAAGGCCUUCGGGUUGUAAAGCCCUUUUGUUGGGAAAGAAAAGCAGCAGGUUAAUACCCCGCUGUUCGGACGGUACCCAAAGAAUAAGCACCGACUAACUUCGU
rnacentral:rRNA from 1 species